CUUUAUGGUCUAAACGGUAUUUCUACAAAUGUAUGUACUCAUUAGACAUAAUGGCGCUAGCGGCGCUGUUGACCGAAAAUUGUGCCGUAAAAAUACCUUAAAAUACCUUAUUUUUUCAAUGAAUAUUUUUGACGACAGCCGUAAAACUGAUUCGCCGCUAAGCGAUUGCGCCGUUAAUCGCAGGCCGCCUGCAAUUACAUGAUUGGAGCCCUCCCUCUUCCUCUUUGAUGGACAUAAUCAUAAAGGGAAUUGGGUUAUCUGCUAAGUCAUUCCUGGUGUUGCCAGUAGUGGAUGGUGCUGUCACCUGCACUAAACAAUUGAAGUGUUGCCAUGGAUUUUGAAUUUAAGCUGUCAUUGUAAUUGGAAACAUAGCUAUGUAAUUACUUAGUAAGUAUAUAUAAAACCUCAUUUUAUGAUAAAAAUGUAAUUUUAGCAUGCAAAAAAUGUACACUAAUACCCUUAUGUAUGUAAAAACACCAAAGGAAAGAGAAGAGCAUUGACAGAAAAAUCUUGGUGAAAAUAAGAAAUUGGUCAGAGACAAAAUGAUAAGAGCAGAUUUACAAUAUACACUGAUACACAGCAGUUGAGAAACAAAUAUAUAACCAAGGCUAUGUUGUGUGGAGCUGCUUCUCUUGAACUUGAGAGACUAAAGUCUGACUGCUGUUUGUUGACUUCAACAGCUUUAUAAUACAGAAAAUGAAAAGAGGCCAGAGCAAGGUGUGAACUACGUGAGGAGGCAACAGAAGAUGAUGCACGUGAUGUGGUGGAGGUGAUGCGCUUCUCAAUGAUGGACACGUUUUCAGAUGAAUUUGGGCUCUUGGACUUCCAAAGGUCUCAGCAUGGCUCAGGGUCGAGUAACAGGGGCCAGAUGAAGAAGUUUGUUGCAGCUCUUCAGAGGAUGUCAGAUAACACUUAUAAAUCUACAUAUAGCGUAGAUGAAUUGAGGCAGUUGGCCAAACAAUUGAACAUGAAAGUUGGG